rnacentral:tRNA from 1 species
AAGAGGUUGUAUGUUCUAAAAGAAGCUGCUAACUAUCUUUUAAAGCGGUUAAAAUCCGUUUACCUCUUA